rnacentral:rRNA from 1 species
AGUGAACGCUGGCGGUAGGCCUAACACAUGCAAGUCGAACGGCAGCACAGUAAGAGCUUGCUCUUACGGGUGGCGAGUGGCGGACGGGUGAGGAAUACAUCGGAAUCUACUUUUUCGUGGGGGAUAACGUAGGGAAACUUACGCUAAUACCGCAUACGACCUACGGGUGAAAGCAGGGGAUCUUCGGACCUUGCGCGAUUGAAUGAGCCGAUGUCGUAUUAGCUAGUUGGCGGGGUAAAGGCCCACCAAGGCGACGAUCCGUAGCUGGUCUGAGAGGAUGAUCAGCCACACUGGAACUGGAACACGGUCCAGACUCCUACGGGAGGCAGCAGUGGGGAAUAUUGGACAAUGGGCGCAAGCCUGAUCCAGCCAUACCGCGUGGGUGAAGAAGGCCUUCGGGUUGUAAAGCCCUUUUGUUGGGAAAGAAAAGCAGCAGGUUAAUACCCCGCUGUUCUGACGGUACCCAAAGAAUAAGCACCGGCUAACUUCGUG